CCACGUCCCGACGCACUCCCCCCGGCGCCGGGACUUCCCGAGCCGGGCUCGGCUGCCCCUACCCCCCUGGGGCGCCGCAGCCCGGCUCCUUC
rnacentral:ncRNA from 2 species